UACGUAGGGUGCAAGCGUUAAUCGGAAUUACUGGGCGUAAAGCGUGCGCAGGCGGUUCGCUAAGACCGAUGUGAAAUCCCCGGGCUUAACCUGGGAACUGCAUUGGUGACUGGCGGGCUAGAGUAUGGCAGAGGGGGAUGGAAUUCCGCGUGUAGCAGUGAAAUGCGUAGAUAUGCGGAGGAACACCGAUGGCGAAGGCAAUCCCCUGGGCCUGCACUGACGCUCAUGCACGAAAGCGUGGGGAGCAAACAGG
rnacentral:rRNA from 1 species